rnacentral:lncRNA from 1 species
AGAAAGAUGACGUUAAAAAAGAAAAAUUACGAUAGAGAAUGUAGAAAAAUAGUUUAAAUCACAAGGGUAACGUAUAAUUUACUUGUAGAAAAAUUACGAGCAGUGAUCCGACAUGCGAACCUAUAAUUUAAGGCAUUACAGUGCAAUGUAAUCAAGAUAUAGGAAAUUUUGAAAACAUGUUAAGGAGUGCUCCUAUAUGUCAACAAGAUUGAAGAAGGGCAGGCAAUUCACUUUUUUCAUUUCACAUCCCCAAGAAGAGCAAGAUCACAAUUCACAACAUCAAAAGCAACCAUGGUUCAUAUCUUAUCACACUACAUAAUAAUCGCGAAUGCAUUGUUUUCGCUAUAAAACAAUUAUAAUAGAAAUUUUACUGCCCAUUCCUACAAGAAGAUUAAGCAAAAUUGGCAUCCUCAAGUAAUAGGAACGCAUUCUUUUGUCGUAAAUAAUUAAGUAAAAGCCGCAGAAUUUUGCUUCACAAGAUCUGAUUACAACAUCAAAUUUGAACAAUUUAUAUGCGGCGCAACAUAUAGUAUGAAGAAGAUAUAAAACAAGAAGUAAUUGAUAAAGAAAAUCAUCCGCACAUAUUUACAAGAGACAAAACCUCUACUGAUUCUCAAUACUGCAUAAAACACGAAUAUAUCACUUCAACUCCAGUCAUCUUUAAAACUACCCAUGACAGAGAGUUAAUUCUAAACUAACCGCAUAUUUUUCUUGGAACCUUCACUCCUUGAAAUUGUUUAUGGCGGAGUUCCCUGAAGCCCCUGGAUCAUAUAUUCGGUAGAUAUCGCUAAAGUCCUUGAUCGGUCCAUACUCUUUGUCUAUUGGUAAAGUGUGGGGUGGAACAAAAUUUGGGGGAUGCUAAAAGGAAGAAAGAAGAAAAAAAACUGGGUCUGUAAAUUAGGUCAAGAAAAUCAAAAUCUGGAAAUUUAAGAAAAUCAACAAGCAUUGUUUGGGUUAAGAUAUAUAAAUGAGAAGUCCAAUCUUGGGACUUCAAACCUAGUCCAAAACUUUGCAACUUAACAAGUUUCAAAGUAAAAUAGGAGAGAUUACAGAGCAAAUUAAAAUUGAGAUAUCAACAAGUAAAUUGCAUAUCAUACAACUAUCUUUUGACAAGUAUAGAUUCAAUAUUAUAUGUAACAAAAACAAAAUACAGUUCCGCUAGUAAACUCCUCAGAUUAGUCGAUAAUUAGACAAGAUACUGAGCUAUCAAAAAGUGAAAAAUUCAUAAAGUUCACUUUAAAUUCUAAGAGAUUGUACUUGCUUUGAAAUUGGAUUUACUUUGAAAUGUUUACUUUUGACUACUUUCGUAUCGAUUAACCAAUAAUCAAGACAUAUAUAUUUUUCAGGAUCUGAGUUUUGGCCUAGUCUAAUUUGCCUUGAUCAGACUGGUAAAUACCUGCAGACAGUAGCAUUUUCCAUCACCAUUACAUCCCAAACGUUAAUGGAAUUCCGUGGUUGAUCACUUGAAAGAAUCCCCAGUUCCCAUAAGAGUCCCGGAUUCUUUCAACCGCCGCACCCGCAUAUGAAUUUCCUAAUCAAUACCUUCAAAAAGUCUAUUAGUGGAAGCCAAACUUAGAAUCGCCAAAAACCCGCGUUAGAUGAUCUUGUUUGGUGUGAGAAACAAAAUAGGUGGGUAUCUUUCCACGCUAAGCUUUAGGAAUCCCUUACUUACUCACUUGUGAUUCAUCGAAAACUUUUAAUUUAUUAUUCCAAUCAUAAUCACUCUCGUUUUUGUCAGUUGUACUGGUGAACACCAUUUUUCAUUUCCUUUUCUCUCUAGGGAUGUACAAAAUGAUGUGCUCUCUUUGUCAUGGAAGAUAGCAGAAGAUGUCAAAGUGGAGUGGGCCUCCUGUCGUGUGCACUGAGAGGUCCUUGUACAAAAUUCAGUUUUCUAACAGAUAAAAAGGGAGGGUAUUGGUCAGAACAAUUAUGUUGGCCCUCUCACCCUUUAUGGGACCAUCACUGGCUAUUGGCUUUUGGUUCAACAUUUAUGAGCUGCAUCUAAACGUUUAUAGGCAAAAUCCACCGACAGCCAUUUUCGUUGAAAUGAGAGUUGUUUAAUUGGACCUUCAACUAUACAUUGGGGACUCAUUUCUCAAAAAUCUUAUAGCAAUAGAGAGUUUCGUACCGUUAAGGAAAUAGAGUGAGUUUCUUGUAUAGAGCGUUGGGUAUACAAAGGUUGGGAUAUAUUACUAGGGUAUACUGGAUUUUGAGUGUAAGAGAUAUUUGAUGAUAUAUUACUAGGGUAUACUGGAUUUUGAGUGUAAGAGAUAUUUGAUUCUUGUAAACUUUUCUUCCAUAGUGAAGUAUUCUUGCCGCCUUGUCAGUGGACAUAAUCUAUAAACCGAACCACGUAUAUCAUUUUGUCAUUUGUGAGUGAUUUUAAUUUUUUUCAGUUGUUUAUUGUUUCUACUUUGGGUACCCAAAUUACCGCCAAUCAUAAUAACACUGACCAUGUCAUCUUUGUCAUUCAAUUCUUCUUCCCUCCGUCUAGUCACUU